rnacentral:rRNA from 1 species
CACCAGACUCCUACGGGAGGCAGCAGUGGGGAAUAUUGCGCAAUGGGCGAAAGCCUGACGCAGCGACGCCGCGUGAGGGAUGAAGGUCUUCGGAUCGUAAACCUCUGUCAGCAGGGAAGAACGGUCACUGUGCUAAUCAGCAGUGAAUUGACGGUACCUCCAAAGGAAGCACCGGCUAACUCCGUGCCAGCAGCCGCGGUAAUACGGAGGGUGCGAGCGUUAAUCGGAAUCACUGGGCGUAAAGCGCGCGUAGGCGGCUUUUCAAGUCAGGGGUGAAAUCCCACGGCCCAACCGUGGAACUGCCUUUGAAACUGUAGAGCUUGAGUGUCGGAGAGGGUGGCGGAAUUCCAGGUGUAGGAGUGAAAUCCGUAGAUAUCUGGAGGAACAUCAGUGGCGAAGGCGACUAUCUGGCACAUAACUGACGCUGAGGAGCGAAAGCGUGGGUAGCAAACAGGAUUAGAUACCCCAGUACC